GCGAAGGAGCUUUCUUUUUUCUUCAACUCCGGUCAUCUUCUUUUCUUUUGAUUCUACAAUUCUUCUCGCAUUUUAUCUCUUAGCAAGAUGACAUCUUUCUCAUUCCCUCGUCCGACGAUCGAGAAAAAGCAGCUCGAGGCCCUAUAUUCUUUGUUUGGCGUUGAUCGCGCCGUGAUCUGCGACACCGCUUCCGACUUUGAGACCCUGUAGAAUGUCAGGGAAGGGUAUUGUGGAGUGUAUUUUUCUUUCUCUGAGACAUGUGGCAUCUCCUUCCUAAUUCCUAGACAGGUGCUGGAGAUGCUUGGCGAGCACGGCCUUUCCCUUCACUCAGAUGUGUCCUAAUCUCUUUAUACAGCUUCUGGCGACUUUGGUCAGAGCCAGGGAGGAAAAUCUUCUGUCUGAUCUCGAAGAAUUGCGACCAUGGGAGAUUUCGAUUUCUCCUUACUUCCCCAACUCUGGGCCAAGGAUAUCGUUCACUCGGGGGUUUCUCCGAUGUCAGAUCAGCUUCUAGGCAUGCUGAGCGUCUUGAGGCGGAGGAAACGAAUUCGGACCUCGCUGCUACUCCCUCUUGGUUCGGAUAUGGCUCCCAUAAUCCCUGAGCCGAUCGAGUUGAUCGGAGAUAUUUAUUCUUCCGAUCGCGGAGAUGAACCUGUUUCUUCCGAGCUUCCUCCUAGUAUAACUCGUCAAGAGAGACGCUUAUCGAGGAGGUCGUUUGUUUCGGACUUCCGGGUCGAUAUUGAGGAGAUCAUCGGUGGAUUUUGCUCCGCAGUCGCAUAGAUCGCCAGUAUCUUUGAGCUCUAGCUCGGAAGAGGAUGCCUCGAUUCGCAAGCGCAAACCUACUAGGACACCGCAAAGUACUUCUCCGGGACCAUCACGUGUCUCUUUGAGGAAGAAGAAGCAAAAGAUCGGGGGAGACGAUGUCGUCUCGGAGCCUAUGGUCGACGUUGAUAUCGAGUGCUUGACUGAUGGCGUUAACCCAGAAGGUUUUAAGACGACUUUCUUUGCUUCCAUAUAGGAGCAAGAAGACUAUACAAAGGUCGUUGAAGCCAACGCCAAGGUCAUAGAUGCCUGCAACGUCCUUGUCUUAAGGAUGGGGGAGCACGCGAGGACUUCUCGAAGAGAUGCGGAGAUCAAAAAAAUCUUCCUUGAUUUCAAGAUGAUCUCGGCGGUACUCGAAGUAAAAUGAAACUUAUACUUGACUCAACCUUUAUAUAUAAGUAAAAGAACAAUGCACCACAAUUCAAACAGUUUUUAGUUACAUUAAUAUUUAGUGAUAUGACAAGUUACAUCUGAAAUGUCAUAAAGGUUUUUAUAAUUUCAAAUAUGAUGUUCAUCUAAUAGGGUCUAAUUGAAUCUUGUACAACCAAAGAUAUUAAA